rnacentral:rRNA from 1 species
UACAGAGGUCUCAAGCGUUGUUCGGAUUCAUUGGGCGUAAAGGGCGCGUAGGCGGCAAGGCAAGUCGGGUGUGAAAGCUUGGGGCUUAACCCCGAAAGGGCACUCGAAACUGCCCUGCUAGAGGGCCGGAGAGGAGAUCGGAAUUCACGGGUGUAGCAGUGAAAUGCGUAGAGCUCGUGAGGAAGACCGGUGGCGAAGGCGGAUCUCUGGACGGCCCCUGACGCUGAGGCGCGAAGGCUAGGGGAGCAAACGGGG